rnacentral:hammerhead_ribozyme from 1 species
AUACAGAUAACGAGUCCCAAAUAGAAUGAAACACGCGUCCUGGAU